rnacentral:rRNA from 1 species
GGAACGCUACGGCGUGCUACACUUGACAGUCGAACGGAAAAGAGUAACAUCUUUUCAGUGGCGGACGGGUGAUAAUGUGAGAAUUUGCCCUUAUGGCAGAGGAUAACAAUUAGAAAUAAUUGCUAAAACUCUAUAUGUUGGAAACAAUGAAAAAAGAAAUUUGCCUAAGGAGAAGCUCACAUUUGAUUAGCUAGUUGGUAGGGUAAGAGCCUACCAAGGCGACGAUCAAUAGUUGGUCUGAGAGGACGAUCAGCCACACUGGAACUGAGACACGGUCCAGACUCCUACGGGAGUGCAGCAGUGAGGAAUAUUCCUGCAAUGGGCGAAAGCCUGACGGAGCAACGCCUGAGUGAGGGAUGAAGGCCUACGGGUUGUAAACCUCUUUUUCCAAGGUCGGAAAGAUCUGACGUUCACUUGGCGACUAACAUCCCCAACCCAGAGCCACGAGCCGC